GUUCAGUUUGGUAUUGUUUUUAUCUUUAUUUUAUUUUCCCAGGAAAUUGAAGAAGAUAGUUGGUUAUUGUUCUUGAAUCAAUUAGACUGCUUUGCUGCAAACACGAGUUUGUAGUUUUUUAAGAUUAUGCACCAGCCACGUAUACAAGCCUAAGAAGUAGAAUGACUUUAUCUGACUUGGAGCCUUUAUGGACCUGGAUAGUUAACAACUAAAAUGGACAAUUUGUGCUGUU